GAGUAAGACCCGCAAAGAAUAAACUCAACGGGGGUUAGACGGGGGGCCCGCACAAGCGGUGGAGCAUGUGGUUUUAAUUUGAAGCAACGCGAUGGGGGGGUUCCCAGGUCUAAACAUCUUUUUAAACCCCUGGGAAAUCAGGUUUCCCCCUUCGGGGGCAAAAUGACAGGGUGGUGCAUGGUUGUCGUCAGCUCGUGUCGUGAGAUGUUGGGUUAAGUCCCGCAACGAGCGCAACCCUUAUGACUAGUUGCCAGCAUUUAGUUGGGCACUCUAGUAUUCCCCCGUUUUGCCCCCCGGAGGAAGGUGGGGAUGACGUCAAAUCAUCAUGCCCCUUAUGACCUGGGCUACACACGUGCUACAAUAAUGUACAACGAGUUGCGAGACCGCGAGGUCAAGCUAUUCUCUUAAAGCCAUUCUCAGUUCGGACUGUAGGCUGCAACUCGCCUACACGAAGUCGGAAUCGCUAGAUUCGCUGCAAG
rnacentral:rRNA from 1 species